rnacentral:rRNA from 1 species
UACGUAGGGUGCGAGCGUUGUCCGGAAUUAUUGGGCGUAAAGAGCUCGUAGGCGGUUUGUCGCGUCUGCUGUGAAAACCCGAGGCUCAACCUCGGGCCUGCAGUGGGUACGGGCAGACUAGAGUGCGGUAGGGGAGAAUGGAACUCCUGGUGUAGCGGUGGAAUGCGCAGAUAUCUGGAAGAACACCAAAGGCGAAGGCAGUGUCCUGGGUGGUCGCUGACGCUGAGAGGCGAAAGCCAGGGGAGCGAACGGG